GAAAGAUACCUUGUUAGCUUUCCAUUUCUCCUGCUUCCUCAACAGCCUUCGCACUUCCUCCAAGCAGGACUUAAAUACCCAUCCCUCUGGCCCCAACUCUCACUCCCAGCACCAUGAAGGCUGCUCACGGCUUCCUCCUCCUUCUGGGUCUCCUCUUCCUCUUCACAGAGCUUCCCCUUUCGAGGGGACAAAUGGUGAAGCCUGGGGGGUGUCCCAGGGCAGCUCCAAACUCCUUCCAGCCUUGUGUCCAGACAUGUGAAAGUGACGAAGACUGUUCAGGGAAGCAGAAGUGUUGCCUUUUUGCUUGCAACGUUCAGUGCAUGGAUCCCAUCUAAGGACCCUUUGGGUGGCAACUGGAUCUUUCUGCAUGAACUUCGCCUUUCCAAAUUGUGGCUAGUGGUCCAACUUGACCCAAAGACCCUUCUUCUGUCCUGGAAAACCUUCUCCAAAACACACCGAGGUUCAUUCCUUCUUCUCUUCAAUAAAGCAUUGGAUUCUGGCUUCCCUCUCGGUCUCUUGUGUCUCCUUCUGCCCCUUUUCCCUCCCCCCCUCUCCCCCCCUCCACAAGAGCAAGAGGGGCCGAGCCACAGAGCGUCUUUCCAAGAGAGAGGGAAGGAGGAAAGAUCCCUGAUGGGCCAACCUCUGAGAAAGUAGGCCCAGGUUGGGUGAAGAAAUGACAGAAUAACACAAUCACAGAAUUGGAAGGGACCUUG